CACCUCAGCCUCCCAAAGUGCUGGGAUUACAGGCGUGAGCCACCACGCCCGGCCCCUCCCUGUCUACUUUUCAAACUCAUACCACUGCCUCCCUGGAAUCCUAUAAGCACCCUCUGGGCUUAUCCUAUUUUAUAUCUAAGGAAAUGAAGCCCAAGAGGUUCUGUGACUUGCUCAAGGGCUCACAAAUAGUUAAGCAGCCAAGGUCAGAUCAGAAGCCACAUCUCCAGACUCCUGAUCUACUUUUCCCCACCUUCCCAUUUGUUUCUUGACCCUACAACAAUCUUUGAGGACUCUAGCCUGGCAGAUUCUAAAUGGAAGAAUGUUUAAACCAGAACAGUUAUUUCCCUGUUCUGUGAAGUGUUCUUGCUGGUCCUUAGAACUAUCUGAGGGCUGGGUUCUGAAAGGAGAAGACAGGCACAGUGAAGGUUCUGGAUAGUCAGACCUGGACUGAGUGGUUCUGGCAGUGUGCCUCAAGUUGCAAACAUUUAAGAGAUUUGCAGAGACAGAAGUGAUCUGUGUAUACUUCGCAAACCCUGCCAAGUGAGACUUCCUUGAAUUUUGAGCAUGAGAGAGGUGCCAAGUGACUUUUCUUAGCUCCUGCUUGUGCAUGAAUAAAUGCCACUGAAAGAGCAUCUUUGGGAGAAACAUCCAGGGGGAGCAACUCUCCUGCUGUCCAAGAGGAACCAGGAGACGGAGUCCAUCAAUCUGCCAGUUUGUCAGUUUCACGGAGUUUGGCAGUUCUGAAAACGGUAGGCAGCUGUCAAACUGCCCACCCCCAAACUGCUACUGAAUCAGAAGGAAAAGGAUGCUGAACCUCAAUCGAUGCCCAGGAACAGCCAGAGGACACAGGAGCCAAAGUGUCUGCAUGGGGUCUUGGCUCUAAAGGAGAAGCCCCGGCCCAGCAGCUCUGGACUUGCUCUUGGGCAUGCCUCUCUCGCUCCAGAAACCUGAGGACCAGGCCCUGGAAACACAAAGGGGCAAGAUAACCUGGACUCGCUUGCUGCCACAGAAAAUUCAGCAGGAUGACCUACCUCUGGCUUCUUUGGCUGUUGUUUUUUCACACAUAAAGACGCAAGAGACAGCUGUUGCACGUGCAUCAUCA